CAGUCGCCGCGGUAAUACGAAGGGGGCUAGCGUUGCUCGGAAUGACUGGGCGUAAAGGGCGCGUAGGCGGCGAUCAAAGUCAGGCGUGAAAUUCCUGGGCUCAACCUGGGGGCUGCGCUUGAUACUUGGUUGCUUGAGUGGGGAAGAGGGUCGUGGAAUUCCCAGUGUAGAGGUGAAAUUCGUAGAUAUUGGGAAGAACACCGGUGGCGAAGGCGGCGACCUGGUCCUUGACUGACGCUGAGGCGCGAAAGCGUGGGGAGCAAACAGGAUUAGAUACCCGAGUAGUCCCUGUCUCUUAUAC
rnacentral:rRNA from 1 species